AACGAACGCUGGCAGCAGGCUUAACACAUGCAAGUCGAACGCAUCCUUCGGGGUGAGUGGCAGACGGGUGAGUAACGCGUGGGAACGUGCCCUUCAGUUCGGGAUAACCCAGGGAAACUUGGGCUAAUACCGGAUACGUGCGAGAGCAGAAAGAUUUAUCGCUGAAGGAUCGGCCCGCGUCUGAUUAGCUAGUUGGUGGGGUAAUGGCCCACCAAGGCGACGAUCAGUAGCUGGUCUGAGAGGAUGAUCAGCCACAUUGGGACUGAGACACGGCCCAAACUCCUACGGGAGGCAGCAGUGGGGAAUAUUGGACAAUGGGCGCAAGCCUGAUCCAGCCAUGCCGCGUGAGUGAUGAAGGCCUUAGGGUUGUAAAGCUCUUUCGUCCGGGACGAUAAUGACUGUACCGGAAGAAGAAGCCCCGGCUAACUUCGUGCCAGCAGCCGCCGUAA
rnacentral:rRNA from 1 species